AGAGUUUGAUUAUGGCUCAGGAUGAACGCUGGCGGCGUGCCUAACACAUGCAAGUCGAACGGGGUUAAGGGAAGUUUUCGGAUGGAACUUAACUAGUGGCGGACGGGUGAGUAACGCGUGGAUAACCUGCCUCGCACUGGGGGAUAGCAGCUGGAAACGGCUGGUAAUACCGCAUAAGACCACAAUGCCGCAUGGCACUGGGGUAAAAGAUUUAUCGGUGCGAGAUGGAUCCGCGUCUGAUUAGCCAGUUGGCGGGGUAACGGCCCACCAAAGCGACGAUCAGUAGCCGGCCUGAGAGGGUGAACGGCCACAUUGGGACUGAGACACGGCCCAAACUCCUACGGGAGGCAGCAGUGGGGAAUAUUGCACAAUGGGCGCAAGCCUGAUGCAAGCAACGCCGCGUGAGUGAAGAAGUAUUUCGGUAUGUAAAGCUCUAUCGGCAGGGAAGAAAGGCCCGAAAGGGAGAUGACGGUACCUGACUAAGAAGCCCCGGCUAACUACGUGCCAGCCGCCGC
rnacentral:rRNA from 1 species